AGAUGCCACCGCCAGAGUGAGACUGUGAAAUGUGAAUAAAACCACACACACUCUCUCUCUUCAGAGUCUAUGGAGCUUUCUUCCGCCCUGUUCUAUUUUGAACUAGAGGGAGGGUGGUGAGUGUGGUGUCCCCUGCUAGAACCAACCCGCAAACAGAAACAACACAAUUUCUCUAUCUUCAUGUCAUGUGUUCUUAGCAAGAAAACAACACAUAUGGAUCUUCUUCUUCUUCUUCUUCUUCUUCUUCUUCUUCUUCUUCUUCUUCUUCUUCUUCGCGUUUCCACUCUCCUCCUUGUUAUUGAUUCUUGAAGCACCCAUCUUGAUUUCUGCUGUCAGUAACUCACCGCCCAUGCCUCCUCCUCCUCCUUCUUCCUCCAUACCAUCAGCUCCCAGGUUAUCUGGAAUCGAUCAGUUGAAACAUCUGUUGCUUCUGUUUGCCAAAAGGUGGCCUUGAUUGAACACAAUAUGAUCCAGCCUAGUAAUUUAGUUGAUGUCUCAGUCUGGAGUUGGGGAAUCCGAUUAACCCUUAAAAUGCCGGUAGUUUGGAAUGUAGCUGCCCGAGACUAGAACCAGUAGUCUUUAGGAUUGCAGAAGUACAUCGAAGCAAGCUGGAAACUUCUUAGUUCUUAUGAGUGUGCUCCAUCACGAUCUGUUGGCUUACUGAGAAGAGUUGCUACCAUUAUUGAAGAGAUUUUUUUUUUCAUUAUCGGUAUUUCUUUCUUCAGGUAAAUUGACUGACAAGAGCGAUUCAUGCGUUUGGGGUUGUGCUGCUGGAACUUUUCUUGGGAAGGAAGCCGGUCGAGAAAUUGGCACCAGCUCAGUGCCUAUCUAUUGUCACCUGGACCAUGCCACACCUUACUGAAAGAUCAAAGCUUCCAAACAUAGUAGACCCCACAAUUAAAGAUGCCAUGGAUUUCAAACACUUAUAUCAGGUUGCUGCGGUGGCAGCAUUAUGCUUGCAACCUGAACCGAGCUACCGCCCACUAAUAACCGAUGUUAUGCAUUCUCUUAUCCCACUUGUACCCAUCGAGCUUGGUGGAAACUUACGAGCUACCCAGCCUCCCAUUUCAAGGGAUGUCCGGAAUGGCCUAUGGCAAUCGAAGUAGG